rnacentral:lncRNA from 1 species
GAAUCCCAAUCUCUUCAUGCUGUCUCUUACCCUGUUCCAACCACAUGCUGAUUUCCUUCAUAGAAUUACUCAUUGUCCAUAAGCUAAUGAGGCUGUAAUCAAAUUGAGGAGCGUUAUCUUCCCCUAACGAAGAAAGCAGGACUGCAGAAGAGACCAAUGUGGAUAAAACACCCGGAUCAGGAAAGACUGCCUGGCGGAGUAUGGGUGAGGCACAGCAAUGCAAAACCAUGAAUUGCAGAGUGGAUCUUCAAAGGGCUGGCACCCAUGAACUCCCACUAUUAAAACAAGAGAGAAGUUAAUCUUAACCUGAGGCUGGUUUUGGAAGCAUCAUCAUUGUGCAGAGAACUUUUCAGGCUUUUGGACCCAGUGUGACCCUAAAAUACCUGACUAUGGAAAUGCUGGCUCCUGGACCCCAACGCAGAAAUCCACCAAAUCUGUCAGUGUGAGACCUGUGGGCCUAUAUUUUCAACAAGCUAACCCAGAAGAAGAGGCAAAGUCUUGGCGUAGGACUGGAUGUAUAUCCAUACUUGGUGUGCAUAGGGCUCGACGCUACGAUGCUAUGUAGAUGCUGAGUCUCCUGCUUUUUGAAUAAAAGUGUUGUCAUAGAAUUACUGUUGACUCA